GAUGAACGCUGGCGGCGUGCUUAACACAUGCAAGUCGAACGGUGAACGAGGGAGCUUGCUCCCUCCGGAUCAGUGGCGAACGGGUGAGUAACACGUGAGCAAUCUGCCCUGGACUCUGGGAUAAGCGUUGGAAACGACGUCUAAUACCGGAUACGAGGCGUGGGGGCAUCCCCAACGCCUGGAAAGAACUUCGGUCCAGGAUGAGCUCGCGGCCUAUCAGGUAGUUGGUGAGGUAACGGCUCACCAAGCCUACGACGGGUAGCCGGCCUGAGAGGGUAACCGGCCACACUGGGACUGAGACACGGCCCAGACUCCUACGGGAGGCAGCAGUGGGGAAUAUUGCACAAUGGGCGCAAGCCUGAUGCAGCAACGCCGCGUGAGGGACGACGGCCUUCGGGUUGUAAACCUCCUUUAGCAGGGAAGAAGCGAAAGUGACGGUACCUGCAGAAAAAGCACCGGCUAACUACGUGCCAGCCGCCGCGGUAAGAC
rnacentral:rRNA from 1 species